rnacentral:lncRNA from 1 species
GAAAAAUGAGCUUUUAAUACUAUGUAAAUACUUGUUCGUACAUUUAGUGUUUGCAUCAAAUCAAGUAGUUUACAUGGAUUAUGGGUAUGGUCCGGGACUACAUCCUAAUUCACAAACUUUCAAUCACUAAUCACAUGAGUAUUAAAGCUCAGAUGAGUGAGGCUACCUGGGCCAACAACUAGAAAAGAAAGCAAAAGAGGCAAGAAAUUGAGCCCAAAGGACUCCGC